UCCCGUGUGGCUCAGUUGGUAGAGCAUGGUGUUUGCAACGCCAGGGUUGUGCGUUCGAUUCCCACGGGGG
rfam:Salmo salar isolate Sally breed double haploid chromosome ssa28, whole genome shotgun sequence.